rnacentral:lncRNA from 1 species
AAAAGUUUCAAUGAGGCAAUGAAGAAAGGAUUUCUUUCUUUCCUUCAUAUUCUGAACUAAGCGCGCAGCUUCCGCGCUCUGUGCAAGUUUGACGGGAGCUGUACUUCCGAGUCCAUCGAAAGGAUCGAAGCGGUUAUCGGAAAAGGCCUUAACUUACGUGCCUCGUGGGACAUAACGCAAGCUUUCUUGAAGUGCGAAGAGUUUUAUGGCUCUCACGCGAUCUCAGUUCCGCUCGCUUUUUAUACCGGCCUUUUUCUUAAGUCUUCUGGGUGACCAGCAGGGAACGCAACUGCUUCCUGUUGUUAAGCCGGGUCGGCGUAGGAGCUAGGCCCCGAGUGGUGUUUACUUCCGGUGGUUCUGUACUACCGGGAUCAUUUUAGACGUUACCGCUGACGGCCUGGUAAGCUUCAGAAGCCUCCGGAUUAGCGUUUUAUGUUGGCUUAGCUCGACCUGCCACUAAAGUCACCCAACAUCGGAUACUUUCUUCAGGCUUCCUUUAGCGACUACUGCCUUGCGGAUUACAGCGUCGAUCAAGAAAGGCAAACGCGGCGAUCUACAUUUUUUCUACAAAGCAUGUCGCAGCGAAUGGAAAUAUUGGAUAAGAAAUGGCGGAGUAACGCGAAGUAAGAAAUGACCAAGUAAGCUGUCCAAACCACUAAAACAAAUUUUUAAGGUUUACUAGGAAAUUAGCUUUUUGCUAUACAUUUCGUUUCUAGAAGAGCAGUUAGAUCAGUCUUAUCCUCAAAAAUGACUCGGCGUGACAGAUAUGAUGGGAAAACGAAAGCUGGCGACGCCACUUUGAUAUCUCGGCACCAACAUGUGGUGACGUCACAGAUUCUUGCACUUCUGGUGAAUGCUAACAGUCUAGGGAAUACAAAUUAUAUUCAUUCCCAUUCCAAACUGCACGAAUAUGAGGACUUUAUCGGGUAACAUAUAACGUUAUAUAAUAUAACAACUUUUCGGCAGGAUGAUGACUCGGACAUGGGUGACUAUAGCCGUGAAAUCUAUCCCUAUUCGAAAGUGCACAAAUAUUAGGACUUGAUCGGGUAAGAUACGCGAACUUUUAAGCAGGAUACUGACUCAGAUAGGGAGAACUAUAGCCGUGAUAUCUAUGACGUCACAACAAUGUCAGUGUCGCCUUCGUAUGGGCGCCAGGUUUAAAUCAGGGAACUCUUACCUUAAUUUUCUGCAAUAUUAUUUUUUUUAAGAGAGCCUUGAAAUAGUUAUCUACGCAUCUAGAUUAGCUUAAUAUUCUUCUUUAAGUGUCCAGUUAGGCUGAUCUAUAUGGUGCUUAUUGCGAAUCAAGACUAACUUCUUUGUAACGAUCGCGAUACCGCUCCUUUGCUUCGCUUCACAAUUUCCUCGCAGGAUCGUAGCUACGAUCUCUUAAACUGGUCACGUACCCUUCUGAAUUAAUAAUGCGAACCACCUACGUGCUGCAAUGAAAAAACAAACCAGCCCAGCCACUUUCAAUUCUCUUCAAACGAAGCCAGAAUUCGGAAAGUUUCGUUGUCAAUCCGCCGGCAACGAACUGUUCUCGUGCGCUUUACUUAGAUCUAUCUGCCCUACCCUCGAAAAACCCUGCCAAAAGCGUUUUCAGUAAAACACAUGUUCUUCGGUCGGCGACCUUUAGCAACGUCAAAAUAGCUGCGCCAUCACUGUUUGACUCGGGCAGAGUGAUAUAAAUAUUGACAACUUUUCCCCAUGCCAUAUGGACGGAUCGAGCUAAACUGACUAGGCGACGUACUCGGCGUGCUUACUUGUUGGAGUUUCACUGGUGUACUUGGACCAGGGAAAUACAUUGUUUUUUUUUUUUUCCUAAGCCAUCUCCUCUCUUUCAUAUUUUAGAUGUACAUACCAGAUAUUGGUGUCCUUAUGUUGUGAGCUCCAUCAGCGGCGCACGUCACCAGCUGUCGUGGUCUCUCUAGUCCUGUGUUCUUCUUUAUUCUUUGCGUUUAUGUGUGGUUUAUUUUUCCCAACUUUGUUUUAGUAGCACUUCCACAAUAACUCAGACUCAAAGAUUUUAAACA